UACAUCGGCAAAAGAAAUAUUUACAGUCAUCAGCGAGGCAAUCCAUGCUGUUUUUUCACUUGAAAGUCAAGUCUUAAUUCAAUACAUCCAUGAUCUCUAUACAUGCAGUUGGCUGCACUUCACACUGUAAACAUACACCUCUUUUGGAUCUCGUAUGUCCAGCUCUUACUCAGUGGUUUACAGUUUUAUCAAGAAGAUUUGGUUGUACUUGUAGUAGCUCACAGCUGCCCUUUCACUUCAAACAAAUGCUUCAUCUCA